GACGUAGGAGGCGAGCGUUGUCCGGAUUUACUGGGCGUAAAGCGCGCGCAGGCGGUCACACAGGUCAUCUGUUAAAGCACUCGGCUCAACCGGGUUGUUGCGGGUGAAACCGUGUGACUUGAGGACGGUAGAGGUCGGUGGAAUUCCCGGUGUAGUGGUGAAAUGCGUAGAUAUCGGGAGGAACACCCGUAGCGAAGGCGGCCGACUGGACCGAUCCUGACGCUGAGGCGCGAAGGCCAGGGGAGCGAACGGG
rnacentral:rRNA from 1 species